CAGAUACAAAGAAGUUAAGUACUUUGUUUAAGAACACAGUAGGUGGGAUAGCUGGAUUUUUGCAGUCAGGAUCCACUAUGUUCUUACCCACUAUGUGCUUUUGAGAAACUGUGGUCCCAGAAUAUGUUCUGACAAACAGAAAUCCUGGGUCAAACAAGUCUGGGAGAUCCUGGGUACUCUACUGUCCUCUUAGAUUCCUCAUUCCGGAACAUUACCAUGUUAAAGGCUCUGAAACUCCUGCGGAGAACAAAACCUUUUCGCUCUUUUAACACAGCAUUUUCUGAACUCCCUUGAUACAGAAUUUUUUCCAUUAUCACAUAUUGAAAAACUCUGGAAUAAAAUAACUGUUCCAACCCAUUUCUGAAUAAUUCUAAAAAUUAUGUCUAAAUCAGUACUAGCAGGUUCCUUUCCUUCACACCAGUUUUGAAUUGAAACAACUUGAAAGGAGUUAGAAACCAGCUACCAGCCCAGUAGCCCAAGAUAAAGAUAAUCAAGAGGUACUACUGUCAGAUUAGUAGUUUCCUCCAGUUAAGUCCUCCCUCUGAGUUCAGUUUGAGAACUGCAGUAGGCUAGCUCUACUGAUUGGACAAAAGGUGAAUAUUCCUACACCUGUGGCCAUUAUAGACAUAGAGCAGGAGCUCCAAACGAGAGCCAUGAGUGAAGGUCCUGCUGUGGAAUACGGCUGGUUACCUGAGUUAGCCGUCACCAUAUUUUGCUGAGGAUAUAGGUUCAGCUUUCCCGCAAGCCAGUGAGCAUUUCUCAUGUUUACAGACAACCUUCUUGGUACAGACACUGAUGCACCUUAAGUAGAUUCAGAUUAGAGUGUGGGGAGAGUAGCAAAAGUCCAUUUACAUCACUUCUAGGAAAACGGCCUAAGCCAUAAAUUCUGGGAGACACCCCUCUUCCUGACAUAGACAUACACACUUUUGCUCAUAUACUUAGUUUAUUGAAUACCUAUUGCUCACUUAACAACUCCUCAGACCUGAGACCCCUGACCUAUUCAUAAGACGCUACUUUAAUUUCCCCAAAGCCCAGGAUGGUAAGACAGAGGAGGUAUCGGUAAAAGCUUCUGGAAUGGGUAAGUACAGUAAGUGAGUAUAGCAAGAGAGGAGAAGCCCCCUUCCACCUCUCAAAUGAUCAGUUCUUUGAAGACCUAACAGGCAAGAUCGCAAGAGCUGUCUCCCUGGUAACUGUAAAUGAAUCCUUUCUUCUAUUAAAUAAUUAUUUUAAUGCCUUUUCAUCUCUAUAUUUAAAAAGAAAAACAUUCACUAAAUUUAUGGACAUCUUAUGUGCCAGGGUCUCCACAGUCUUCAUGGUAAAAGGGUAUCUAACUGAUAUACACCAUCUUGACUACUUCAAGGAGGCAGGAGAGCACCAUGGGUUAAAGGGCUGGCUCUAGUUAUAGUUUCCUGGGUUCAGAUUUCUGUCACUUUCUGGCGUUGUGAUCCUGACAGUUACACACUGACUCUCUGAGCUUCUUAUCCUAUCAUGUCUUUAUUUCUGUCAGGGAAUUUAUAAUAAAAAUAUCUGGCCUUCACUCUCUCUGAAAAGCUAGGGAAGAACCCAAGAAGAAUCUGCUUCUAGUUAUGCCUCCUAGUGUUUCUGCAGGCACAUUUUAAAUAUUACGGUAUUUUGCCCCCCGUAAUUAUAGGAGGAAAGGACAAGAAAAUACACUUUUGGUGAAUAAAAUGCUGAAUGACUAUCAAAGUUCAGUUAAACAUUCACGAUUAAAGUCUCUUAUUAACACCCUCAAAUGGAAUUUUGUGUUUCCAAAUUACAGAGCUAGAGGGUGCAGCUGUUUCCGUCUUAGCCAUUCUCCAUUCUUCAAUAGGUGUAUUCACUUAAGUAACGUGGAAUUUCUCCAAGAGGCUGAAGAAAACAAAACUACUCAUCCCUGUCCUGGACUUUUACGCCUAUGGAUCAUAGGUCCUUCCUAACAUUGACCAAAGAAUAACUUCAUUUGUAACAAUUCUGGAAGCUUUCCAGGAUAAUUUCAAGCAUGAAAAUAAGGAGAAGUUCACAGACUUCACAAGGCAAAAAGCCAGAAUGGUUGCUGAGGAGAAAUGGACAGUGUCUUGGCCAACUAAAAAUGAAAACAAAAAGAGGUGAG